AACGAACGCUGGCGGCAUGCCUAACACAUGCCAGUCGAACGAGACCUUCGGGUCUAGUGGCGCACGGGUGCGUAACGCGUGGGAACCUGCCCUUAGGUUCGGAAUAACUCCCCGAAAGGGGUGCUAAUACCGGAUAAUGUCUUCGGACCAAAGAUUUAUCGCCUUUGGAUGGGCCCGCGUUGGAUUAGCUAGUUGGUAGGGUAAAAGCCUACCAAGGCGACGAUCCAUAGCUGGUCUGAGAGGAUGAUCAGCCACACUGGGACUGAGACACGGCCCAGACUCCUACGGGAGGCAGCAGUGGGGAAUAUUGGACAAUGGGCGAAAGCCUGAUGCAGCAAUGACGCGUGAGUGAUGAAGGUCUUAGGGUUGUAAAGCUCUUUUACCCGGGAUGAUAAUGACAGUACCGGGAGAAUAAGCCCCGGCUAACUACGUG
rnacentral:rRNA from 1 species